rnacentral:rRNA from 1 species
CCUACGGGCGGCAGCAGUGAGGAAUAUUGGUCAAUGGGCGCGAGCCUGAACCAGCCAAGUCGCGUGAGGGAAGACGGUCCUAUGGAUUGUAAACCUCUUUUGUCGGGGCGCAAAAGACGCCACGCGUGGCGUUCCGAGAGUACCCGAAGCAAACGCAUCGGCUAACUCCGUGCAAGCAGCCGCGGUAUUACGGGGGAUGCGAGCGUUAUCCGGAUUUUUGGGGUGAAAGGGGUGCGCAGGGGGAAGAUCAAGUCAGUGGGAAAAGCGAGAGGCUCAACCUCUUCGAGCCGUUGAAACUGGUGUGCUGGAGUGAGCGAGAAGUAUGCGGAAUGCGUGGUGUAGCGGUGAAAUGCAUAGAUAUCACGCAGAACUCCGAUUGCGAAGGCGGCAUACCGGCGCUCAACUGACGCUGAGGCACGAAAGUGUGGGUAUCGAACAGGAUUAGAUACCCGUGUAGUC